GGGAGGAAUUAUCGUCACAGUGGUUGUUGGAGCCGGGGUUGUGGUUGUUGGAGCCAGGGUUGUGGUUGUUGGAGCUGUUGUUUUUGUUGUUGGAACUGGGGUUGUGUUUGUUGGACCCGGGGUUGUGGUUGUCGGAACUAAUGUUGUGGUUUUUAGAGCUGCAGCUGUGGUUUUUGGAGCCGCUGUUGUGGUUGUUGGAACCAAUGUUAUGGUUGUUGAAGCUGCUGUUGUGGUUUUUGGAGCCGCUAUUGUAGUUGUUUGAGCCGCGGUUGUUGUUGUUGGUGCAGUAGUUGUUGUUGGUGCAGCAGUUUUCGUUGUUGGUGCAGCAGUUUUCGUUGUUGGUGCAGCAGUUGUUGUCGUUGGUGCAGCAGCUGUUGUCGUUGGUGCAGCAGUUGUCGUUGUUUGUGCAGAAGUUGUUGUCGUUGGUGCAGCAGUUGCCGUUGUUGGUGCAGCAAUUGUCGUUGUUGGUACAGCAGUUGUUGUUGUAGGUGCAGCAGUUGUGGUUGAUGCAGUAGUUGUUGUUUGUGCAGUAGUUGUUGUUGGUGCAGAAGUUGUUGUUGUUGGUGCAGCAGUUGUCGUUGGUGCAGCAGUUGUUGUUGUUGGUGCUACAAAUGUCGUUGUUGGUGCAGCAGUUGUCGUUGUUGGUGCAGCAGUUGUUGUCGUUGGUGCAGCAGUUGUCGUAGUUAGUGAAGCAGUUGUUGGUGCAGCAGUUGUCGUUUGUGCAGCAGUUGUCGUUGGUGCAGCAGUUGUCGUGGUUGGUGCAGCAGUUGUCGUUUGUGCAGCAGUUGUCGGUGAUCCAGCAGUUGUCGGUGUUGUUGCCACUGUUAUGGUUGUUGGAGCCGCUGUUAUGGUUGUUGGUGCCACUGUUGAAGUUGUUGGAGCUGCUGUUGUGGUAGCUGGAACUGUUGUGGUAGUUGGAACUGCUGUUGUGGUUGUUGGAGCAGCUGUUGUGGUUGUCGGAGCUGCUGUUGUGGUUGGUUGAUCCGGGCCUGUGGUUGUUGGAGCCGCUGUUGUGGUUGUUGGAGCUGCUGUUGUGGUUGGUGGACCCAGGCCUGUUGUUGUUGGAGCUGCAGUUGUCGUUUGUGCAGCAGAUGUCGUUGGUGCAAUAGUUGUCAAUGUUGGUGCAGCAGUUAUUGUCGUUGGUGCUGCAGUUGUCGUUGUUGAUGCAGCAGUUGUUGCUGUAGGUGCAACAGUUGUCGUUGUAGGUGCAGCAGUUGUGGUUGAUGCAGUAGUUGUUGUUGUUAGUGCAGUAGUUGUUGUUGUUGUUCCUGCAGCAGUUGUCGUUGUUGGUGCAGCAGUUAUUGUAGUUGGUGCAGCAGUUGUCGUUGUUAGUGAAGCAGUUGUUGGUGCAGCAGUUGUCAUUGGUGUAGCAGUGGUUGGUGUUGGUACAGCAGUUGUCGUUAUUGGUGCGACAGUUGUCAAUGUUGGUACAGCAGUUAUUGUCGCUGUUGGUGCAGCAGUUGUCGUUGUUGGUGCAGCAGUUGUCGUUUGUGCAGCAGUUGUUGUUUGUGCAGCAUUUGUCGUUGUUGGUACAGCAGUUGUCGUUUGUGCAGCAGUUGUCGUUUUUGCAGCAGUUGUCGUUGUUGGUGCAGCAGUUGUCGUUUGUGCAGCAGUUGUCGUUGGUGCAACAGUUGUCAAUGUUGGUGCAGCAAUUAUUGUUGUUGAUGCAGCAAUUAUCGUUGCUGGUGCAGGAAUUGUUGUUGUUGGUACAGCAGUUGUUGUUGUAGGUGCAACAGUUGUCGUUGUUAGUGAAGCAGUUGUUGGUGCAGCAGUUGUUGUUGGUGGAGCAGUUAUUGUCGUUGGUGCUGCAGUUGUCGUUGUUGAUGCAGCAAUUGUCGUUGUUGGUGCAGCAAUUGUCGUUGUUGGUGCAGAAAUUGUCGUUGGUGCAGCAGUUGUCGUUGUUGGUGCAGCAAUUGUCAUUUGUGCAGCAGUUGACGUUCGUGCAACAGUUGUCAAUGUUGGUGCAGCAGUUAUUGUCGUUGGUGAUGCAGUUGUCGUUGUUGAUGCAGCAAUUGUCGUUGUUGGUGCAGCAGUUGUCUUUUGUGCAGCAGUUGUCGUUGGUCCAGCAGUUGUCAGUGUUGGUGCCGUGGUUGUGGUUGUUGGAGCCGCUGUUAUGGUUGUUGGAGCCACUGUUGAAGUUGUUUGAGCUGCUGUUGUGGUUGUUGGAGCAGCUGUUGUGGUUGUUGGAGCUGCUGUGGUGGUUGUUGGAAGUGCUGUUGUGGUUGUUGGAGCCGCUGUUGUGGUUGUUGGAGCUGCUGUGGUGGUUGGUGGACCCAGGCCUGUUGUUGUUGGAGCUGCAGUUGUGGUUGGUGGAGGUGCUGUUGUUGUAGUUGGAACUGGAGUUGUGGUACUUGGAGCUGCUGUUGUGGUAGUUGGACCCACGGUUGUCGUUGUUGGUGCAGCAGUUGUCGUUAGUGCAGCAGUUGUCGUUGUUGGUGCAGCAGUUGUCGUUUGUGCAGCAGUUGUCAAUGUUGGUGCAGCAGUUAUUGUCGUUGAUGCUGCAGUUGUCAUUGUUGAUGCAGCAAUUGUUGGUGCAGCAGUUGUCGUUUGUGCAGCAGUUGUCGUUGGUGCAGCAGCUGUCAUGGUUGGUGCAGCAGUUAUCGUUUGUGCAGCAGUUGUCGGUGAUCCAGUAGUUGUCGGUGUUGUUGCCGCUGUUAUGGUUGUUGGAGCCGCUGUUAUGGUUGUUGGUGCCACUGUUGAAGUUGUUGGAGCUGCUGUUGUGGUAGUUGGAACUGUUGUGGUAGUUGGAACUGCUGUUGUGGUUGUUGGAGCAGCUGUUGUGGUUGUUGGAGCUGCUGUUGUGGUUGGUUGAUCCGGGCCUGUGGUUGUUGGAGCCACUGUUGUGGUUGUUGGAGCUGCUGUUGUGGUUGGUGGACCCAGGCCUGUUGUUGUUGGAGCUGCAGUUGUCGUUUGUGCAGCAGAUGUCGUUGGUGCAACAGUUGUCAAUGUUGGUGCAGCAGUUAUUGUCGUUGGUGCUGCAGUUGUCGUUGUUGAUGCAGCAGUUGUUGUUGUAGGUGCAACAGUUGUCGUUGUAGGUGCAGCAGUUGUGGUUGAUGCAGUAGUUGUUGUUGUUAGUGCAGUAGUUGUUGUUGUUGUUCCUGCAGCAGUUGUCGUUGUUGGUGCAGCAGUUGUUGUAGUUGGUGCAGCAGUUGUCGUUGUUAGUGAAGCAGUUGUUGGUGCAGCAGUUGUCAUUGGUGUAGCAGUGGUUGGUGUUGGUACAGCAGUUGUCGUUAUUGGUGCGACAGUUGUCAAUGUUGGUGCAGCAGUUAUUGUCGCUGUUGGUGCAGCAGUUGUCGUUGUUGGUGCAGCAGUUGUCGUUUGUGCAGCAGUUGUUGUUUGUGCAGCAUUUGUCGUUGUUGGUACAGCAGUUGUCGUUUGUGCAGCAGUUGUCGUUUUUGCAGCAGUUGUCGUUGUUGGUGCAGCAGUUGUCGUUUGUGCAGCAGUUGUCGUUGGUGCAACAGUUGUCAAUGUUGGUGCAGCAGUUAUUGUUGUUGAUGCAGCAAUUAUCGUUGCUGGUGCAGGAAUUGUCGUUGUUGGUACAGCAGUUGUUGUAGGUGCAACAGUUGUCGUUGUUAGUGAAGCAGUUGUUGGUGCAGCAGUUGUUGUUGGUUUAGCAGUUAUUGUCGUUGGUGCUGCAGUUGUCGUUGUUGAUGCAGCAAUUGUCGUUGGUGCAGCAGUUGUCGUUGUUGGUGCAGCAGUUGUCAUUUGUGCAGCAGUUGACGUUGGUGCAACAGAUGUCAAUGUUGGUGCAGCUGUUAUUGUCGUUGGUGAUGCAGUUGUUGAUGCAGCAAUUGUCGUUGUUGGUGCAGCAGUUGUCGUUUGUGCAGCAGUUGUCGUUGGUCCAGCAGUUGUCAGUGUUGGUGCCGUGGUUGUGGUUGUUGGAGCCGCUGUUAUGGUUGUUGGUGCCACUGUUGAAGUUGUUGGAGCUGCUGUUGUGGUUGUUGGAGCAGCUGUUGUGGUUGUUGGAGCAGCUGUUGUGGUUGUUGGAGCUGCUGUGGUGGUUGUUGGAAGUGCUGUUGUGGUUGUUGGAGCCGCUGUUGUGGUUGUUGGAGCUGCUGUGGUGGUUGGUGGACCCAGGCCUGUUGUUGUUGGAGCUGCAGUUGUGGUUGGUGGAGGUGCUGUUGUUGUAGUUGGAACUGGAGUUGUGGUACUUGGAGCUGCUGUUGUGGUUGUUGGACCCACGGUUGUCCUUGUUGGUGCAGCAGUUGUUGUUAGUGCAGCAGUUGUCGUUGUUGGUGCAGCAGUUGUCGUUUGUGCAGCAGUUGUCAAUGUUGGUGCAG
ensembl:lncRNA